UUGGUCCUGAAUCAAGGUCAGUAGCUUCCUGACGCUGUUGGUUUCUAGCAGGAACCUAAAGAGAUGUCUUUCUAUGGCCAUUUCAGAACUUGGGCAGUGAAAUAGUCAAUUCACUAGAACGAAACAGCU
ensembl:snoRNA